rnacentral:lncRNA from 1 species
GUGUGACUAAGUUUGACUCUGAUGGAAAUAUUCUGUAAAUUAUCACGUCACUACCACAAGACAACAUGGGCUCCUAAGACAUGAAAACCCCUCUCUAGCCUAAAUCUAAGCACUUUUUUAUACUUAGUAACAUUAAGAAGACUCACGAAUAUUUUAUAUUGUCCACUAUCAGCCCAAUCUGGAUUUGGGACAAUCAACUCUUUGGAGAUCCAUCCUAGAUACAACCAUAAAUCCUUGGGCUGAAACGGAAAUUCCAUACUUGCCCCAAAUAGAGCCAGGAAGGCUGCUCUGAGCAUCAGCUACACAGACCCUCUAUCCUUCUUGUUGACAUGAAGGGCUAUUCAGUGCCAUUCCACCCCACUUAAGCUUGCUGACUCUAAGAUAGUGUGCAAUGAGGCUUCUAAAGAAAGCAACCAAGAAGUCAGUGGCUGAUCUUGAAACAGUGGGGUAUAAUCAUUAACUCUUCACAUUUUUAUUCAAUACUUUUAUGAACAAUUUAACAAGAAGUUUCCUUUGUUAGAAAGAAUAAACCUUUCCACCUC